CAAGCAAAAUGAAUUUUAGUUUGAACCCCCGAAACUAGGUGAGCUACUUCGAAAUAGUUUUUAGAACAAACCCGUCUCUGUUGCAAUAGAGUGGGGUAAUUUUCAAGUAGAGGCGAUAAACCUACCGCACCUAGAGAUAGCUGGUUGCUCAAGAAAAGAAUUUAAGUUCAGCCUUAAGUUUCUAAAUUAAAUAAAAAUUACAUAAAACUUAAGAGUUAUUCAAAUAAGGCACAGCUUAUUUGAAGCAGGAUACAACCUCCCCUUUAGGGUAAUACUUGAGAGACCGUAACAAGUGGGCCUAAAAGCAGCCACCUUCCAAAGAGCGUUAAAGCUUAAUACCUGUCUCAUCCAAAUGUCUUAAUAUAUCAAUAACCCAUCACCAAUAUUGAGCAAUUCCAUAAAUUUAUGGAAGAUAUAAUGCUUGAACUAGUAACAAGAAAUAAAUUUUCUCCAUAAUGUAAGCUUAAGCCGCUAUAGACAACCUACCGGCAAUCAACGUGAAUGCAACUAUUAUAGUAACUUUAACAAGAAAACCCUAUAAACUAAUGACGUUAACCUUACACCAGAACAUUAAUGGAAAGAUAAAAGGGGGAGAAGGAAUUCGGCAAAAUUUAACCU
rnacentral:rRNA from 1 species